rnacentral:rRNA from 1 species
AGUGAACGCUGGCGGUAGGCCUAACACAUGCAAGUCGAACGGCAGCACAGUAAGAGCUUGCUCUUACGGGUGGCGAGUGGCGGACGGGUGAGGAAUACAUCGGAAUCUACUUUUUCGUGGGGGAUAACGUAGGGAAACUUACGCUAAUACCGCAUACGACCUACGGGUGAAAGCAGGGGAUCUUCGGACCUUGCGCGAUUGAAUGAGCCGAUGUCGGAUUGGCUAGUUGGCGGGGUAAAGGCCCACCAAGGCGACGAUCCGUAGCUGGACUGAGAGGAUGAUCAGCCACACUGGAACUGAGACACGGUCCAGACUCCUACGGGAGGCAGCAGUGGGGAAUAUUGGACAAUGGGCGCAAGCCUGAUCCAGCCAUACCGCGUGGGUGAAGAAGGCCUUCGGGUUGUAAAGCCCUUUUGUUGGGAGAGAAAAGCAGCAGGUUAAUACCCCGCUGUUCUGACGGUACCCAAAGAAUAAGCACCGGCUAACUUCGUG